AGUCUUAUAGUCAAAAAAUGAUUUUAGAUUGCAAAUCUAAAGGUAAAGUUUAUCUUUUAAGGCUU
rnacentral:tRNA from 1 species